rnacentral:misc_RNA from 1 species
AAGUCGUAACAAGGUUUCCGUAGGUGAACCUGCGGAAGGAUCAUUAAUGGUUUAUUGACUCCUGAGAGUGGGGGUUGACCAACCUUGUGGUAUGUUGCAUGUGUGUGUGUGUGUUGGAUGUAUCUGUUUGGGUGCGUCCAUGCACAUUCUUUUUUCUCAAACUCUUUCCCUUUUAUUUACUGAUUCAAAACGUAUGCUCACAGCGUACACAAACAACCGAAAACUGCCAGCAACGGAUCACUCGGUUCUC